rnacentral:rRNA from 1 species
UACAGAGGGUGCGAGCGUUAAUCGGAAUUACUGGGCGUAAAGCGCACGUAGGUGGCGACGUAAGUCGGGUGUGAAAGCCCCGGGCUCAACCUGGGAAUUGCAUUCGAGACUGCAUUGCUGGAGUACGGAAGAGGAGGGCGGAAUUCCCGGUGUAGCGGUGAAAUGCGUAGAUAUCGGGAGGAACAUCAGUGGCGAAGGCGGCCCUCUGGUCCAGUACUAACACUCAAGUGCGAAAGCGUGGGGAGCAAACAGG